rnacentral:lncRNA from 1 species
AAAAUCUACACCAUUAUAAUAUAUUUGAUUAAAUCAAUAUCACUACUUAGUUAUAAAAUUUCAUCUUUAUCAACUUUUCAUCAACUUUGCAGAAAUAAAAUAAUAUCUUUGAACUAUAAAAAUUGGUUAUCCCUAUCUUCAAUUUUAUCUUUAUCUGAUGUUAUCUGUAACUGGAGUUUAGCGGCCCCAUUCAUGAGAUGACAGAAGAGAAAAGUCAGCCCCUGUGAAUAUAUUAAUAUUGUUGGGAAGUGGAAAUAGGGGAGAAGUCAACUCCUUGAAAUGCAAAUAAAGAAGCAGAGUAACCAAACCAAAGGCAAAUGCAGGUGAAGAGUGUCGCCCCCCAUGCUUUGAUGUCUAUGAACUUGGGGGGUUGAAUUUGAAGCAUGCAAUCAUGAAUGAAUUAAUGAGAUGAGUAAGUUGACUUCUUGAACAAACCAAGGAAAUAAAUAAACACUUGACAAACCCUUUUUGACUUUUGGAACGAAAUAGCCACCUCUCCGCGUCUGUCUCGCGUUUUCCCAAUGAGGGAUUGAAUCAAGGCAUGGAUUGGGCGCCAUGCAUGCCGCCGCUCUUUUUUAGUUACUCCACACGUUCAAGUUUCAAUCUGGUUAAGAGUCGACACUCGACACUGCCCAAAAGGCAUGUGAAACUCGAAAUAAAGGGUGAAAUCAGGUACCUACAACCCUAUUCUAUUGGCGGUGUUAAAUAAGGUCGGCUGUAGCGGUUACAAACCUUGAAGGCAUACAACAGCAGAAGUAGCACUGCAAUAUUAAUUACUGGUUUAUAAUUUAAAAUUUAUAUUCAUGACAGAUAAUAUACAAGCGUAUUAUAUAUAAUAAUUUUACACUCCGUAAUUACUGUAAAUAAUCAAAUAUUUCAUAUGUAACGUCCUAAACUUUAAUUGCAUCAAUUUAGGAUAAAUUGUAUUAUUAGAACUUAACUAAAAAUUUUACAAUUUAAUUAUUAAAUUUUUUGAAAUUGUUUUAUUGUCACCUGACUCUUAAGUAUAAUAACAAUUUUCAUUCUCAAUUUUUAUAAAUUUUGUAUACAAAGGGAUAAAAAUUGAAAUUCUUUUUUAAAAAAUUUAAAAUUCUAAAAUUAAAGUAAAUAAAAUUUUCAAAAAAUAGAUAAAGAAAGAAAAAAUUAGGAUUUUUUUUUAAACCCUCCAAAUUUUCUCUUUGUAUUACCUGAAUAGAAAUAUUCAAUACCUAUUUUUUUAAUAAAAAUAGAAAAAAAAAUAAAACACUAAACAAAAUGAUUGAUUCUCUUUUGUUUCUUAACAUGGGUUUUUGGUUAUAAGAAGAGAAAAAUUUCAAACAUGAUUUGUUUUUGCAAUUCAAGUUUUAAAAAAUAAUUUAAAUGAAUUGAAAAUUUGAAUUAAAGAUGAAAAAAUUUGUGAUAUAUUUUAUAUUUUUUGUUAAAAAAAUAGCAUCAAAAUCGAUUUGACAAACCUCUAAAAUAUCAACUUUAGAUAGUCUUCAAGGACAUGAAACUUGACUUGAAGAUAUUACAAACUUAAUUUGAAACAAGAUUAAGAAAACAUGUAAUGUUAUAACUUUAUGUUUUUUUUCUAUUUUUAAUUUGUUAAUGGUAGACAUCCUCACUCUUUGCCCUUGAAUUCUCAAUCCACAACAAUAAUUAAUGAGCAGCAACCAGUACAACUAUUGUUCACAAUAGUUAAAAUGAAUUUAAAAUAAAAACCAGAUGAAAUAGAAACAAAAGAAUCUGAAAAUAAAUCAUUAAGUAAUUCAAAUAAACAAAAGAUCAUUUAUUAUUUGAAUAAGAAAUUUAAGUACCAACAACCUUUUGGCUUCAUGUUCAGAGAUUUGAGUGGUGAUGGCCAAGAGAAGGCUAGGGGAAGCUUUCAUCUUUGACUGGAGGCUGAUGUAGUGGCUGAUGAAGCCGAUCGGAAAGGGAAAGUUGCGGGCUUUGCUUACAUUUUCAAGGGCUUUCUGAUUUUCUUUGGGGAGCUUCAGGCUAGUAGGGCUGAAGGAGGGGACGAAGGCUACCGUUGGCUUCCAACAUCCCCCUCGAACAAUGCCGGAAUCCGAUGGGAGAAUGGUGGUAGUGGCGUCAAAAUUGAAAAGAUAACACAUUCCUAUUUUGAAAAGUGAGAUUAUGGGGACAAGUCAAACACACACUCAAUGUAUUACUUGUAGUAAUCACAAAAUAAUGAAGAAAAAUUUUAAAUCAACAAAAAGAAAUUUAUGUUUUUGGAUUGAUUUAAUUCCUUAUAUGGUAGACAUGCACUUAAAUUUAUAAAUUCAACAACGAAUGAGUAAAACGUGAUAGGAAAA